UGUGUGGUUAUAUCGUUUAUUUUAGUGAAUCGCAAGUGUAAUAAAAACGAUAAAAGAAGUGAAAUCACCUGAAAAUUAGGAUUCAGUAAUAAAUUUACAAGUUCUAAAGAUGAUUGAAAAAGAUUUUCCCCGAGGCGGGAAAAAACCGACAGCUGCACCUGCAUCAAAAUCUUUACUAUUCGAAAAAAAUAAUCCCAUAAAGGAAAAAAAAGCACGCGCAAAAAAGGGUUCAAAAAAUAAAGAUCACGUGGAUGAUGUUCUUGUCGCAU